rnacentral:rRNA from 1 species
UUGUAUUGUGGCCAGCCGCCGCGGUAAAACGUAGGGUGCAAGCGUUGUCCGGAAUUACUGGGUGUAAAGGGAGCGCAGGCGGACCGGCAAGUUGGAAGUGAAAACUAUGGGCUCAACCCAUAAAUUGCUUUCAAAACUGCUGGCCUUGAGUAGUGCAGAGGUAGGUGGAAUUCCCGGUGUAGCGGUGGAAUGCGUAGAUAUCGGGAGGAACACCAGUGGCGAAGGCGACCUACUGGGCACCAACUGACGCUGAGGCUCGAAAGCAUGGGUAGCAAACAGG